UCACCGAGACCGACACCACCGCCACCUUCUCGACCUUGUGCCACCGCCGCCACAGAACUCCGGCGACAUGCACCACCACCAUCAAGUCGUCCUCUUCUUCCCCUGCCUGAUGAUACCCAUCGAUCAUCCAUACUCUUAAUUUCCAAUUAGAAUGAAGUUCGAACAGUAGCCGAGCCUUCCAUGGUUCGCGGCGAGAUCAAGUAACUCCGGCAAGCUUCUUGGCCACAAUUUGGUGAGUUUAACAUUUAUUCUUCUUACCCAGUUCAAUUCUUUCCUCAAUUCUAUGAAAUCAGAAUUGAUUAAUCUUUCCCUCUUUCUACAUCAACGUCACCACAUCCCCGUCGAGCUUUACUGUCGAUGUUCUUAUCUAAGGCGAGGCUUUCUACCGUCGGUGACACACCUUGAUUCCAUGUGAACAUUGUUACUCUCCUUUUUCACUGGUGAUAGAGCGAGCUUGGUGAACAUCAGGGGCGAAGUAGAAGUAUUGUGGAAGAUAUAUACAUGUUAGGGGUCCGGACCCGUCAAAGGUAAACGUGGUUCCGCCCCUGACUUGGUCAAUAUUGUGAACGAGUCCAUUUAGUGUAGAUCCAGUGGAAAGAAAUGUUUUAGUUUGAGCUAAUUUUCCGAUUGAACAAGGUUUCACAUACCCAGAAGAUGACUGUUUUGAUAGAAUAUAUAGGGUAGUAAAAACAUCGACAGUGAAACAGGAAAUUUAUGAAAAGAGAUGAUGCAGGAACAGCAUUAGAUACAACCAUCCAAAUAUCGAGCAGCAUCUUAAGAGUGUUUCUACUUGUAAGUGUUUCAAUAUGAACCUUGAACAUGUAUUUCAGGUUCCUUUUUUUCUCAUCUAGUCAAUAUAUAACUAAUAUAAGGUAUCACCAUUACUGUCUU